rnacentral:rRNA from 1 species
UACAGAGGUCUCAAGCGUUGUUCGGAUUCAUUGGGCGUAAAGGGUGCGUAGGUGGCGCCGUAAGUCAGGUGUGAAAUUUCGGAGCUUAACUCCGAAACUGCAUUUGAUACUGCGGUGCUUGAGGACUGGAGAGGAGACUGGAAUUCACGGUGUAGCAGUGAAAUGCGUAGAUAUCAGGAGGAACACCGGUGGCGAAGGCGGCUUUCUGGACAGAAACUGACGCUGAUGCGCGAAAGCUAGGGGAGCAAACAGG